AACAGGAUUAGAUACCCUGGUAGUCCACGCCGUAAACGAUGUCGACUUGGAGGUUGUGCCCUUGAGGCGUGGCUUCCGGAGCUAACGCGUUAAGUCGACCGCCUGGGGAGUACGGCCGCAAGGUUAAAACUCAAAUGAAUUGACGGGGGCCCGCACAAGCGGUGGAGCAUGUGGUUUAAUUCGAUGCAACGCGAAGAACCUUACCUACUCUUGACAUCCAGAGAACUUAGCAGAGAUGCUUUGGUGCCUUCGGGAACUCUGAGACAGGUGCUGCAUGGCUGUCGUCAGCUCGUGUUGUGAAAUGUUGGGUUAAGUCCCGCAACGAGCGCAACCCUUAUCCUUUGUUGCCAGCGGUCCGGCCGGGAACUCAAAGGAGACUGCCAGUGAUAAACUGGAGGAAGGUGGGGAUGACGUCAAGUCAUCAUGGCCCUUACGAGUAGGGCUACACACGUGCUACAAUGGCGCAUACAAAGAGAAGCGAACUCGCGAGAGCAAGCGGACCUCAUAAAGUGCGUCGUAGUCCGGAUUGGAGUCUGCAACUCGACUCCAUGAAGUCGGAAUCGCUAGUAAUCGUAGAUCAGAAUGCUACGGUGAAUACGUUCCCGGGCCUUGUACACACCGCCCGUCACACCAUGGGAGUGGGUUGCAAAAGAAGUAGGUAGCUUAACCUUCGGGAGGGCGCUUACCACUUUGUGAUUCAUGACUGGGGUGAAGUCGUAACAAGGUAACC
rnacentral:rRNA from 1 species